AGCAGCCGCGGUAAUUCCAGCUCCAAGUAGCGUAUAUUAAAGUUGUUGCAGUUAAAAAGCUCGUAGUUGAAUUUCGGGAUCAGUAGGUCGGUCGUGCCACUGGUAUGAACUGGUCUCACUGGUUCCUCCCUCUUGACGAACUGCAAUGCUAUUAAUUUAGUGUAGUAGGAAAUCAGGACUGUUACUUUGAAAAAAUUAGAGUGUUUAAAGCAGGCUUUGGCUUGAAUACAUUAGCAUGGAAUAAUGAAAUAGGACGUUCGAUCCUAUUUUGUUGGCUUCUAGGAUUGACGUAAUGAUUAAUAGGGACAGUUGGGGGCAUUAGUAUUCAAUUGUCAGAGGUGAAAUUCUUGGAUUUAUUGAAGACUAACUACUGCGAAAGCAUUUGCCAAGGAUGUUUUCAUUAAUCAAGAACGAAAGUUAGGGGAUCGAAGACGAUCAGAUACCGUCGUA
rnacentral:rRNA from 1 species